ACUUGAAAAUGUGGAAGUGGCUUUGAAUCAGAUAAUGGGCAGAGCUUGGAAGAGUCUGGAAGCCUCAGAAGAAGACAGGAAAAAAAGGGCCUCACUGCCUGAGAGCUUAUACAAUGUUUGAUCUACCAACAUGGUGCUCUGUAUCAUAUCACUUGAGACCUAAGGACCCACUUUAUGGUAAAGAAGGAAGACAGUGGGCACAUGACCACAGGACACAAUUGUCCUUUAACAUACCAUGCCACAUAGAAUAUCCUGCCCAAUAGAGUGAUGGAAUGGACUUUGAAGCUCAUCUCAGGUGCCAGCUUGAAGAUGAAACCCUUUGAGGAGAAGGCCCAGUACAUAUUAUAUACCAUAAGACAAAAACGUCCUAAUAAGAAGAUAAGGUGACCGAAUAAGGGGAUUACUUGGCAGAGAUAUGAGAGAACUGGGUUCUUGACCCCACUUUGCCAUGAACUUGGGCUUGUUGAAGAAAGUGGCCAUAUUGGUCAGCCUAUUGGGCAGGGAACUGCAGGUGGUACCCAGGAUCUGAGGAUGGCUUCCAGAUGACAGCAAGCAAAACCCAGGGCUCCCAGUCCUCUAACCACAACAGAAUGGAUUCUGCAAACAAUUCGAGUGAGUUUGGAAGCAGAUUCUUCCCCAGGGGAAAAUUCACCACUGAGCUCAAGCAUUGUAAGACAUCCUGUUCUAAGGAGGGAUGAGGACAAAUCCUCUACUGUUCCCAACAGUUGCACAGGGCACUGCAUCUACAGUUACCCUGAGAACUACAAGCAGGAGGUGAAAGAGCUGAGUCAGCCAAGGUCAUCUGGGGACCUAUCCACUGGCAGGUACAGGGACCACCUUUGAUGCAUAAACUGAGAGUCCCUGGAAGAGAUCCACAAGGUACACAAAGAUCACAAGGCAGACCAUCAAACUGAUUUUAAAAAACUGCACUGAAGCCAAGAUCCUGCACAUUAUCAUCAAGCAUGGCUCACAGAAAGAAGGAACAAUGACCACAUUCGCCAAAAGGGUAUCUCCAUAGACAAGCUCUGUGAACACAUCUGCCACCAAAACAUUCUACGUUGCUCUGAUUAGCCUCAAGAAAGUGGGACCUAAGUGGGGCAGAGGAGCCUUUCCCUGUGGCCACCACUGCCUUCAGCCCAUAAGGGAGUUUUUCCAGGCUACCUCCGAUGAUCACUUAAAGCUCAACAGCUCUUCAUUCAGCUUGUGGUCAUGUGCAAUCCUAAUACACUGACUCUGAGUCCAGUUCAGCACUAAGAGUUACCAAGAAUUUCAGUCCUUGUGUCCUAGACUGCCUUUCAAGUUUACUUGGAACCCCAAAGCACUUCAGCCUGCUGUGGUGAGGCGUGCUGAGAAACUGAAGUUCAAGCUACUGGGCUGGGUGAUUCUUUUCUGGCUAGGUGAGGUCCAAAUGCUCCCUCUUGCAUGGGGGCUGGCUGAGCCCAGCACGGCUUUGCUCUCUGCUGUGACAGGGCAGCACUGAAUUCAAUGUAAAGUCCUCCAGUUCUGUGCUCUCCCUCCCCAAGUGCACAGACUCUCUCCCAACAGCAUGGCUGCUGCCAGGGGAAAUAUUAAGAAUGGUGUAGGAGAUUCAAGACUGUCUGUCUUACUUUCUUCAGUGACAUGAAGUUAAAACCAGGUAGUCUCCUUUAGUGACAUGAAGUUCAAACCAGCUGGUCUAAUUGCUCACCUGAUUUUUGAUUCUUAUGAUGGUUCUUUUCUAUGUGCAGAUAGUUGUUAAAAUUUGGUGUUAUUGUCAGGAUGAAGAGUGUAGACUUCUAUUCCACAAUCUUGCUCUACCCACUUCCUGCCCCCAGUUGAGAUUCUUGCAUUUUUGGGUUAUAGUUGUAUUAAAUUUGAAAAAAAUGUAGUUAUUAUUACAUCAAAUAAUUUUGCUAUCCUGUCUUCACCCUUCAUGGGCUACAAGUUGAAGUAUAUUAGGUUGCUUGACAUUUUCCCAGAGCUCACUUGUGCUCUGUUCAUUGAAAAUUGUUUCUAAAAAUUGGAACCACUUAAAAUUCUAUCCAAACAAUUCUGUAAUCAAAGAGAAGAUUAAAAAACAAAUGGAAGGAUGUCAAGAAAAUAAUAAUAACUCAGUAUGUAUCAGUCUAUGGUCAGUACAAAUUUACUAAGAAGAAAAUAGAAUAAAAAUAAUGAGUU
rnacentral:lncRNA from 1 species